ACGCCAUUCAGCCCUGUUUUUAAAAAACUGACAUAACAUAGGGAGACACUAAAACUAAUAAUCACUUUAAUGGGGGUCACUUUUGUACUGCCCCGGGCUGCAACAAUGAGUUUUAUGUGAAAACCGAGGAUAUACUGUCUACUUUCACUCUCUAUUGCUUAAGCUGUCAGUGGUUCUUUGUUGUUUGGCUAGCUACACUGACACUGUUAGCCAGAAUGUUCUGGCUUGUAAAGCACCAGAGGUGGGUAGUAACGAGCUACAUUUACUCCGUUACAUUUACUUGAGUAAGUUUUUGAAAAAAAUGUACUUUUAAGUACCUUUUUUGCACGAUACUUUUUACUUUUACUUGAGUACAUUUAUGAAGAAGAAACGGUACUUUUACUCCGCUACAUUUGCAAAAUUCGACUCGUUACUUUAAAAAAAAAAAUUAGUUUAACACAUUAACACAUGCCGUCAGUGGAGUUUCCGGUAACUUUUUUACCAAUGAGACGUGGCCAUACAGUCACAUGACCAGUUUGAAACCGUGGCGGGCGGAGCGGCCCAAGCGUUUCAAAGUAGCGGACACACGGAAAGAAGAAAUAUGAUUGUAGAGUCUAUGCUAGAGCCGAAGAGGAUGAACACCUUUGGCCUCACAUACAAAGAAUGUUUCGCUUAAAAGCAGCACAAAAGAACAGCUAUGUCUGCAGUGUCGGUGUCUACAGGGAGAGCCAAAACAAACCAACUUUUCAGCGUGAAACAACUGAGGAAACGGUCUCCACUUCAUUAGACAUCACGUAGACACAGAGCUGGAUGAGGCCAGCACAAACAGCAGCCUAACCCACGAAGAUGAUGGAUCCAUGGGGUCAGGAAAGCCAGAAGCAGAGGAACUGGAGAGGUACCUUUCACUGUCCAAUGUCCAUUCACUGGAGGUGUGGAUGUAUUGCAUGGCUUUCCUCAGAUCAAGAAGCUGUCGAUCAAAGUCAAUACAGCUCUUCCUGCAUCUGCAGCCUGUGAGAGACUUUUUAGUCAUGCAGGACUCCUGUUCACUGCCAAACGGUCACAGCUUCACAGCAAGAACCUUGAGAGCCAACUGCUGCUGAAGCUGAACCACCAUUUCACUGACUGAAGAAACAAUUUAUGGUAAAGUGAGCCAUACACAUAUGUACAUCCACAUAGUGGAAAUUUGUAUUUGUCUUUUAUAAUUAGUUUUACUCUGAUUUCAGUGUUUAUUUGUGAGUGUAGUUUUUACAUAUUACAUUGUGUUAAUCCACUGUCUAUACUUCAGGGUAUUUUAGUAUACAAAAUAAGUUUUGUUAGAAUGCCUAUUCCUGUGGAAUUUUAGCACAGAUGUGUUGUUUUCUUUUUUUUAUUCCUGCUGUCCGCCUUGGGAAUAAACUUUUCCUGAUUAUA